CCAAACGACUCUCAACAACGGAUAUCUCGGCUCUCGCAUCGAUGAAGAACGUAGCGAAAUGUGAUACUUUGUGUGAAUUGCAGAAUCCCGUGAACCAUCGAGUUUUUGAACGCAAGUUGCGCCCGAAGCCGUCAGGCCAAGGGCACGUCUGCCUGGGCGUCACGC
rnacentral:rRNA from 1 species